GAAUAUUAUGUACUGAACACGGGUGUACAACAUUUCCAGAGAAUAUGAUUGAAGGAACCAAGAAAAAUCACGAGAUAUUUUUUAAAAUAACAAUAAAUUAUCACCUAUCCUCCAAAAAGUAAAAUCUAAAUUUGCAAUAUUGCCAAUCAAGAUGGGUAAUUUUUUUUAAUGUCACCCUUCGAUCUUUUUUUCCAGAAGUUUGAGCAAGAAAUGAAACCGCAGAAACGGGAUCCGUCCAUUGAUGAGAUGGAAAUUCAGAUUAUUGCACACUUUGGUCCGAAUAGUCAGGAGCGAGAUGCUGAAGUUUUGAAACGAAUCAAAGAAAAUCCAUGGAUACCUGAGGAAUAUGAUUGGGGAAAUGUCCUGGAAAAACACGACUCAUUGAGAAGAGUUUUCAAUGAUCCUUCUCGGAAACGAGAUAAGAAGUUGAGGUGGCUGAGGAAGAAAUUAAUCAAAAUCGCCAAGGAAGAAAAAUGCCCCAUUUAUCGGCAUAGAAACCAUCUUGAACGAUAUUUACGCAGGAAGCUUGUUAAUCGUUACAACCAGCUUGAAAAUCUUAAAAAUAUAUAUGGUGUGGAUUAUGACUUAAACUGGACAACUGAUGCUCAUGUCCGAAGAAAACUUGCUUCCGAAUCGGCUGAGAAGUCAGACCAGAUCAUACUGGAACCAGCGGAAGCAGAGACUCAUUCAAACCUUGAAAUAACACCUCCGGACUCGGACAUCGAGCUUGAGGUGAUGACUGACUUGAAAGAUAAACCACAAGAGCGAUCGCAGGCACAACAGUUGGAAUUCUUGAAGUCACUUUUUUCUCCUGCUCAGCUGAAGAACUAUAAGUCGACAGCUAGACCUGAACGCAAGAAACCCAAGUCAAUGCUACGAUUACUAGAUGCAUCGCAGCUGACAUCACUUCUGAAAGAGUCAAUCUUGGUUGAUCAACUUAAUGAGCUUACGUUUUUGAGUGAUGAAGAGGAUGGAGGUGUGCUGGUGAAGGAGGAGCAAGGGAAAAUUUUAAAGUGA
rnacentral:lncRNA from 1 species